UUAGCUACCCCUAUAAUUACUAAUGACCAUUGUCACCUUUGCAGACUUUAAAGCCAUUACAGGACGGUUCCAAUUUCUACAGUAAAGCAGAGCUUUGGUUCGUUGGAAAGCUUAAAACGCCGAAUGGCGAUUACAGCAUUCCGAAAAUCGUUGAAUAGCAAUUCAAGGGAAGAGGUGUCGAAUUGGCUAUUCCAACCUUUCCACCGAAUGACCUUCUUUUCCCUUUCGAAAACACCCUCACACUGAAAUUUCUCAACGGUUUCACUUUUUUUUCCUUAGCCAUCAACAAUCCCACGCUCAAAUCAACCUGAAAGGAAGCAAAUCAACUUGAAGGCCAAAGACCCACACUUCAUUUACCACUCCUAAGCGAUUCCAACCUAUCACUGGAAUCGAUUGAUGAGAAUGCAAGUCGCCGUAUGGAGGCAGUGAUUUCUGAAGCUUUACAUACAAUUGACACAAUGAACAAGCGAGUGAUUGCAAGGUAUGUUUCUAAAGCUGAGGAUAUUGUUGACACAAUGAUAAAGCGAGACAUUGAGCAAGGGUUCUUGAAAACAGUUAUACCUCAAGGGCAGCACAGCUUCGUCAGUAAAUGGUCUGUAAGGACUUGUCUGCAGAUUUGUUGAUCUCAUCUUAGAUAUUGUUUUAUAGUUAACUUGGAUAUUAUGCGCCAAGAUGGUUCAUAUCCUAUGGGAAAUGUGCCUCAACCCGUCUGGACUGCUCCUAUGUCUACCACCGAUUCCUGCUACUACUGGUCAGGUGAACUAUUCAAUGAUAUAGUGGGAAGCCCAUAUUACAUGGCUCCAGAGGUUCUUAAACGUAACUAUAUGUCUGAAGUGCUGGAAUUAUAGUCUAUAUUUUACUUUGUGGUGUGCCACCAUUCUGGGAAGAGACUGAGCAGGGGGUGGCACAAGCAAUUAUUCGCUCUGCUAUUGACUUUAAGAGGGACCCAUGGCCUAAGGUUUCGGGCAAUGCAAAGGACCUUGUAAAGAAAAUGCUUAAUCCUGAUCCAAAGGAGCGUCUUACAAUACAGGAAGUGCUUGAACAUCCAUGGCUACAAAAUGCUAAGAAAGUACUCAAUGUUCCGUUGGGUGAGACUGUGAAAGCUAGGCUCAAACAAUUUUCUAUAAUGAACAAGCUGAAUAAGAGAGCUCUAAGGGUAAGAAUCCACUUGAUAUAUAUUUUCUAUAAUGAACAAUUUUCUAUCCUUCUUUUAAGUACUUUUUCGAAUUAUGUAAAUUGAGAGUAUGGUUCCACUUGGAUUUGGAUUUCAUUUUUCUUUUGCAUGUCAUUAAUUAUUUAUAUUUUGUGUCGUCAAGUUAGUAUAUGAGUUUGACUUUCUAAGAAUAGCAAUUGUUACGGAGAGAAUUUGCUAUUUCUUAUACGAGAAUAAUAUAAAGAACUAUGAGUUUUUGAAUAACAUAAAAUGAGGAAUGGCUUUUGAGACAAA